rnacentral:rRNA from 1 species
UUAAGAAUCUUGCUCAAUGGGGGAAACCCUGAAGCAGCGACGCCGCGUGAACGAUGAAGGUCUUCGGAUUGUAAAGUUCAAUAAGUGGGAAAAAAUAAGCCCGUAAGGGUGAUGAUGGUACCCAUCUAAAGCACCGGCUAACUACGUGC